UCAUCUAUUAUAGAUCCAACUGAAGAACCUGGAAGCAACAGAACAGCCUGCAUCUUAGAUCUACAGUGAGGACAACUUGAGGUGUGAGCCCAGACCACAAGGAAACCAGCACAGGAAAUCUGAUAACUGGCAGGAUGCAUUAGUCUGGAUUUGGAGACCCUAAAGCAAUAAGGUCAACCCAGCUGUCGUCAGGUGGUAUACACACAUCACAUGCAGCAUCUUGCUUGUCUGGUCACAACUGCAGCCCUGGUCUCCAGCAUAGCCAGACUCUCUAUGGAGCAGGAUGUAGUAUCCUAGUAAUACUCAACUGUUGAGUGGAUUUAAAAAAAACUCCAACAAAACCUGGCCUGCAGAUCACUGAAAACUGGCAGAGUAUUCCAAGAAAAUACCACGGGAGCAGUUCCAGGCAUUGAUGUCCAUGGUCAUGGGAGGCAGGAUUCAAACCAGGGACUUUUCUAAUUAGCUUCCCCUGGACUUGAUGUUCUCUAAAUCCAAAGUGCAGGUGAGGGAUAAAUGGAUGAAGGAGUUUCCAACUGAAGGAUGACCCAAAGGUUGCAAUUUCAUAAAAGCCAGCAUUAAAGGAAGCUGCUGGCUUUGGUCAGUAUACUUAGCAAGAUUUGGAGAACAUUUCCAAAAGCAGUGGUCAAUCUUUCUGCCAGAGCAUCACUUUGAGCUCUGACAGAGAAGAAAAAGCUACUUUUUUUUUUUUCCCUUUGACGAACAACUUUCUCCAGGCCACUUUGACCCAAAAAUCACUUCCCCUGGAGAAUUCAGAGUACCAGACCUGUGGGGUCCCCUCUUGAUGAAAAGAUCCUUCACUGUUGGUUGUUUUUUGUUUGGUUGUUGUUGUUUUGUUUUUCUUUCUGCUGGCAGCAGGAAGUAAAUGUAUUCUAUAUAAAGCUGGAAGGUCUUACAGUAGCUAGUGGUUGGAGUAAUAUCUGGACAUCCCUUUCACAGUGGCCUGUGCAACACCGUAAAUUUUGUGGACCUUCAACAAGUACCAUGGAAAGGAUUGUGCCUUAGGUGUCAGGGACAUGAGAACCAUUUUAAAAGUCUGCUUUGUUCCCAGUUAGAUUCUAAUGGAAGUAGAAAAGCUCCCAGAUGUAAAGGGAUAAUUGUGAACCCGUGUGUUCUGGAGCAGAUGUACACAGGAGGAGCGCAGCAAGGACUUAUUCACAGAGGUGCACAGAUUUAUCCACAGGGUCAUAGUCUUUGAUGAGUCAUAUACAUCUUCCUUUUCAUAAAUGCUUCAGUGGGACUAUUCACAUGAGGAAAGAUAAUACAAAGAUUUGCCUAUAUAUGCAUGGCAGACAGAAACACAAUGUGCAGCUGGAGAGUGAUAAGGGAAAUUGAUUUCUUUUUCCUUUUCCUUUUCACUUUAUUUCUCCUGAGUGGCAGCAGCAGUUCUGUUCAUCAAUUACAUUGCCUCCUUCUCCUAUACAGGAGCAAAUUUUCCAACAAGCUCAAGCCUACUACAUGUAGAUAUACUGAAUAAUCCGCCUCUUAAAAAAAAAAACAAACAAACAGACUUUUCACAAAAAUCUGCUUUAUGUUCUUCAAGUUAUUGAAUAUUUUCAAUUUUUCUUUAUACUCUUCACAAACCUAUAGGACUAAGAACAUUGCUCUGUUGUGCAACUGUCCUAAUCAGCAGGUGAUUUGGAGAGAUACAUGCCACCUAAACAAGGCUUUUAUGUGCUAGAUAUAGUAUUAAACACUUAACCACCCAUAAGAUUUCUGUGCAGUCUCUGCUUGUGUUUAGGUUGCAGAUGAGGCAAUGUCAACACAAGCAUGAUAAAUUGGAGGUUUCUUCUGCAGAGUGCUUGCACAUACACAAGCAAACACUUCAUUAGCAAGACGCUAAACAAAACAAAACCCACAGCAGUCCC